rnacentral:rRNA from 1 species
CAUGCGCCUGUCCAGCCCGCUCAAGAAACUUAAGGAAUUGGACGGGGAGCACCACAACGGGUGGAGCUUGCGGUUUAAUGGAUUCAACGCCGGAAAUCUUACCGGGACCGACAGCAAUAUGAAGGCCAGGCUGAAGACUUUGCCGGAUUAGCUGAGAGGUGGUGCAUGGCCGUCGUCAGUUCGUACUGUGAAGCAUCCUGUUAAGUCAGGCAACGAGCGAGACCCACGCCAACAGUUGCCAGCUCGUCCUCCGGGAUGGUGGGGACACUGUUGGGACCGCCGCUGCUAAAGCGGAGGAAGGAAUGGGCAACGGUAGGUCAGUAUGCCCCGAAUAUCCCGGGCUACACGCGAGCUACAAUGGUUGGUACAAUGGGUAUCUACCCCGAAAGGGGACGGGAAUCUCCUAAAACCAAUCUUAGUUCGGAUUGAGGGCUGCAACUCGCCCUCAUGAAGCUGGAAUCCGUAGUAAUCGCGUUUCAACAGAACGCGGUGAAUACGUCCCUGCUCCUU